AACCACCUGAUCCCUUCCCGAACUCAGAAGUGAAACCUCUUAGCGCUGAUGGUAGUGUGGGGUUACCCAUGUGAGAGUAAGUCAUCGCCAGCUC
rnacentral:rRNA from 1 species